ensembl:ncRNA C30F12.9 ncRNA
UCUCAAGGGUUUCCACUUUUUUUACAAAAUAAGUUGUAUAUUUUGCUGAUGGAUAUUAUUUUUUGAUAUUUCCAAAACAUGUUUAAAAAUAAACUAACUAGUUCCAUAAGUCGGGUCAAUUGGUGGAAGUGGUGAA